UUCCACAGGAAGGGAGUUAGUUCAUAGCAUGGUGUGCUUUGUUGUAUCUGCAUCAGCAAAGCAGAUAAACUCAACCUCUCUUCAUCAGGGAAAGGGGCAGAGUAGCACCAGGAGACAGGGCAAUACUGAAGGAUUAUCGUGAAUGUUUCAGGGAACAAAUUGACUUUCAGGGCAACUGCUCCUUCUCACCAUCCUGACCUGUUCUUCCAGAGAACCUGUAUCCAGCCAUUGCAGUACUCCAGAAAUUUCAAAAAUCAAGCUCCAUCUACUGAAGAAUUCAAAGUAUCUUGCAGAUGUGCAGCUGCAGCUCUCUGAUGCUGAGGAAAAUAUGAGCUAUCCACAGACACCAGCAAAAAGCCAGGCACAUGCAGGCCACCCAAGGCACAUGAGGCGAUCCAAGAGUCACCAGCAGCUCCAAGGGAGGGGUUUUUUACAUUCACUGUGAAACACUACUGGGAAAAUGGAUGUUCAGAUGGGCACAGGGUACAAGUUGUUUGGCCCAGCUUGGAUUUGUGCAUCACAGCAGUGCUGGUGAAGAUUGUGUUCAGGCAAUGCCACGUGUGGCUGCAGAGAAUUCCUUCUCAGAGUAUGGAUUGCCUUGUUACUGUGUAAGCAGCUUCUGUUCCUGCUCACCUCUCAGUUCAGGAUUAAGGGGCGACUCAGGGCUCCACUUCGGUGGCUUAAGUUAAAGUAGGGCAAGAACGGUCAAAGUUGUUUGCAACAAUCAAAAGCGUAAUGAGGGAAAAUAAAGAGGUCUUUCCACCACCUGCUGAGAACAGAAGUGCAAGAGAAAACAGACUUAAGUACAAGGUCCUGACUAUUCCUGGCACCGUGUGUUAGACUCUUUGGGGAUUCUUCAGGGACAUGAACUCCACUUGCACCAAGAUCGAUGAAAACCUGCGCAUUCAAUCUGUUUCUCAUAAAAAAAUAACUCUGAGUCUCUCCAGUGUGCAAGUCAGAAGUCUCUGAAAGUCACAGGGAAAUAAGGGGCUGAAGGGCUAAGAAUUUUGUGCUUCUUUUUCUUUUUAUACACUUCUUAUUCCCACAGAUCCCUUGGGAAGCAUAGGACUUCAGCACAGGGACAACCAGAAAGAUUCAGGGCUGUUAAAUUAGUAGCUUGUUUAAAUCCCAAGGUAAACUAGUUGUGCUAAAUUAAUCUCUGAACCUUCACAUCAAAUCUAGAGCCUCUGAGCAGUACAGAUAUUUUGAGAUGAUCUAAUUGUGGUUGGAAAGAAGGGAAAGGAUGGGCACAAGUAACACUGUACUGGGUGCCGCAGUGGGGUUAGCAUGCAGCACAGUGUAAAAAGCUGACACAGGCAACACAGCCAGAACACCAGGGAGCAAAGAUAUCUAGGCAUUUCUAAAAAUUAGUUGCCGAAAUCAUCCUAGGAUAGCAGAUUUGAAAUGCUUGCUAGGAAACUGAGGGAGAUGUGUAAAGAAAAACUGUGAGAUUUUGGAAAUGGGGGGGGGGGAUUGGAAAGAUCAGGGAAGGCUACUGCUCCCACUCUUGUGGGAGUUUUUCCAGCUCUUAAACAGGAAUCAGAGGCAUCCCAGCAAGCUUUGUUUUCUAAACUCAGGCAGGACCAGUUAACAGUAGUGCUUCAAACCAGAGUGAAUUAGAUGAUACAAAUACUGCUGUCUUUAACAGAGUAUUGGGAAGCAGGAGACAGGUGAAGGAUGCACCACGGAGCUGAGUGAGAGGAGCAUUCAGGUAACCCAGACUCCUGGACAACACUCCUGGGCAACUGCUGGCGGACGCUGUGGGGUAGAUGCAUUAUAUCCAUCCCCACUCACUUCUAGACUAACAACACUAUGAAAGCACAUGAAAGUCAUCAUGGUAUUGUCAAUUUAAUCGCUAACAUCAAACAAGAAUGGAAUAGAGAAGACUUCUAAUAUACUGCUGGCAAAUGUGGAAUUUGUAGUAUAUUGCUAUAUUCACCUUCACUGGGUAGAUGACAUUUACACACUGAAACUGAUGUUUUUACAAAAUUCUUGCCAACGAUUUUGUUUUUACCCCUCUGCACAAAUGGUUGAAAACAUUUUUUAAAAAAUCUACGCUGCUGACUGAAAACAAAAUGAAUAAACAUUUUGCAGAUUCUGACUCCUUCAAGAUGUGAUUGAUCAUCCCAUUGCCACAGGUCAACCUCUGCCAUAGAAAACUCCAGAUAAUCUUCAGCUGCAUUUCCUAAAGCAUUAAUAGGAUAGACAAGGCUAAAAUAACAAUGCACAAUUUAUUUUCCAAAAGCAGCUGACAGGAGGAAACGGAUACCAAAUGAAUUAACUCAUUAGAACAGUACAGCAACAUUUAGAAAUUCAAAACAGACUGCCUGGAAUGAUUUAAAUGUAGCACGAGGUUAAUGUCAGUCCCUUGCUUAGGCGUGUCAGUGUUGUAAUCUUGUGCUCCAGUUUUAGAAAGGUUGAUGGGUGCACACCCUGGGACUUGCAUGUUAGGGUGAACUAGACUUAAUUAAUUACAUGACUAGAAUGCCACCUAUCCUGGCCCCACACAGGUUGCAUAGCAUGUGCAAGGUUUACAUUCACAUGCGUGGACAUGCACACAAAACACACAGACAUGCUAACACUUUCUAAUGUAAACAAAAAAAUCUAUUGCUUGCUUGUUGAGAGUCGGUAUUAAAAAUAGCAGGUAUCUUACAGGCUGUAAAUACAUUCUGUCUUUUAAGAAACUUCAUCUGUGUCCAGAGCAAUAACUUGGCAGCUGUCUUGAGGGAGAAAAGUUUCUCUCAUGCCUGAUUUAUAACCAACAGAGAAUUUCUCAGAAAUUUGGUUUUAACAUUUGUCAGCCACAAGUUGUCAACCAAGCCUAUCUUCUCCUGCUGACUUUCCACCUAUGUCUCUUUCAUAGUUACAGGAGUGUAUUUUUAGAAAAUUAUGGACUUCUACUCAGCAUACCAGACUUAAUACAGCACUGCUAAGGUAAUAUCUACAUUUAUAGCUGUCAUUAAUGUGGUGUAUUUAAGAGCUUUAGUAGCGUUAUAUCCUUCAUGACAUAGUAAGAUGUAAUUAAAGGAGUCAGGGGCUGUAUUAUGGAAACAUUUGCCACCACAUGUGUAGCAUAAAGAUUAUUUUGCAAAGAGACAACUGGGAGCCAAAGCAGUUCAGAGUAUUUCUGCACAUAUUCACGGCAAAAGCACAAUGGCACUUGCCAUUAAAAAAAAAAAAAAUUCUAACACAAGACCUUGUUCAAUCACUGCAUCUGAAAAUGGCUUAAAUUUGAUUAGUGUGUGCAGGUAAUGGGGACUAGGCAAUGGCAUAAAAAUGGUCCUGUUGAUUUAUGUCUGAAGAGUCCAGAUACAUGAUCUACAACCAACAGCUGAAAAAAAGCUUUUUGCUUUCCUUUCACUGCAGAAAUCGCUUGGAACAAGGGUCAUCCCAAAACAAAAGCAAUUCAAGCAGCCUAUCUGAGAGGAAGAUGAGGAAGGAAGGAAGAAGGCUUAUUUCAUCUUCCGCACUGCCAAUCAUUUUACAUCAUCCCAGAUUAUGCAAUAUACCAUAGCAGGGACUGUGAAGCAUGAGUUCAUCAGGAAAGGGCACAUUCAUUAGCACUGCUGCCCUGUGUGGUCUCAGAUGUCUGAGGUAGAAAGGUCACAGCCACAGACUUCACAGCAUCCCCAUCGGGUCUCAGUCCACACCCACUCCUGGUUAUCCAGGGUUAUGAGGAAAGAGGUUAAACGCUUUCUUGUGAAAUCUGUUUAUCCUGUAGUCAUACAAAGAGGAAUCCAGUUAAAUUAAGUAGCUCCCUUAAAAAUGAGAGUUACUGUGCAGUACAGAUUAAUAUAAAAUUGCAUGAAUUAGUGAUUUCAUUUUGUAGUGAUGGUUUACCACGUGUAGCAUCCAACAAUAUAUCCUAAACUGAGGAUUUAAAAUGUAUAAUGAUGUGUAAUGUCUUUGGUGCUCUUGUUGCUUCGUUUGCAUCUAAACCAUGGUGAGAAAAACUGUGUUGGCAUAACGCACAAGACUUUUUCUCAUAUUAAAAAAAAAAAAAUCAUCUUUAUUGAAAUGAGGUAAAAUUACAAAGCAGAGCAAGAUUAAGUCAGAUCAGGGGUUAUUUCAUAUGGUCACAACCCUUCUUUUCCUUGGAUAUCUGGGUUUAUUAUGAUAUUUCAAUAAUAGUCAAACAUGUUGGGUCUCCAGAUUCUUGUAGAACAGAUGUGAGAUCCCGAUUAAUGCAACCAGCCAGCUCUGCAAAUUGCGGGUACAAAUCAGAUACAGUCUUCUUCCUUUGUUUUGUUCUGGCUUAAAACAGCUCUCUGAGAUCAACCUCAUCUAUGCAAUUGUCCCAAAGAGAAUUGCUAGAUUUAGCUGACAGAUGCAUAAAAUCUCAUGUUGCCACUGAAUUCCCAUGUCUAGUCAGCACCAGAUGUCAAAGAAUGCAUAUCUACAGCAGGGUCUGGUGUUCAUUUGUACUCCAAAUUCCUUCCCUCACAGCUGUUGUUUUCCACCUCCAUGUACACAGAGCUGAAUUUUCAGAAGCAGAAGAUAGACCAUGGCUCCAUAUAUUUAUGUGAAUAUAAAUGUUUCUUUAUUUGCUUGGAAAACACGUUUCUGGGUUGAAUAAUAGUGUAUUUCUGGUGUUAUAUUUGGGAAUGCUCAUAUGUCAGUAUUGAAAACAACCUUUCUUAUUUUAUAAUCUCUUUUCAACAAGUUCUGUGAAAUCAGAGUUGUUUUUCCAUGUAGUUGUUUAGAGGUACAAAACAGGAUUUUCACCCUUGCUUAGGCCUCCUGGGCACCAUGGAAAUAAUAAGCAUGGCCACAGUAAUACAACAUAAAAGGUCUGUAGACAUGAGGAACUGCAGUUUCUUCAGUUAUCUUCAGGGGCCUUUGCUGGCCAUUCUUUGUGUCUCUCAGGAAAGGAAGCUCUAGCCUGGGACUAUAAUGACUGUUCUGAAAUUUUGUUCUCCCUCAUGUAGAUAUUACCAGCUUGCACAGCUUUUGAAAUAUUGUCAGUGAGCACCAUUAAAAUAACAUGUCUGCAAGAGGUGAAUUGAUGUGAAUUUUUCCUUUUCUUUUUCCUAUCUAAAGAAGUGGAAAAUUUGAAACAACAGGUAAGAGUGACUACAGCAGUCUACAUUUGUUUUCCUGAGCUUCCUGUAAAUGAAUUCAGAGGUUCAGAAUUUCCAAGGUUCACCCCCAGUGACCUCAAGUGUAAUUUAGAUUUCAUUUUCUUAAAUGAAGGUAACAUGCAUAUGGAGACCUUUUCUUUGCACUUACUUAUGAUAAUCUUCAAUUCAGUGUGAGUUCUCUGUUGUACAAAUACUAAUCACAAUCUAAGAAAAUAUUUGGUUUCUUACACCUCUGAUUUUCAGCCAGGCAAGAAAGUUGGUUUUGUCUAGGGCUGAGGACACAUUACUGUGUUUAAAAGGGAUGCGUCUUAAAUGAUGAGAGUGGCAAGUAUUCAGAACACAUGUUCAAAUUAAAAUAAAAAGUCCAAAAUAGACAAUUACAUGUAAAUUCUUGCUUUUUAAGGGAAGCAUAGCAUGCGCUUUACCACUGGAACAUGCCUUACAUUAGACUCUCAGUUUCUCAGUCUUUUUCCAAACUGUUUUUGUUGACUUCAGCUAGACAAGGAUCUUGUGGUCUUGGUUUUAUCCCCCUUCAUGUUUCAAUGCCUGCACCAAAUGCAAUUCCCCUAACAGCACUGUCUCCCUAACUUCACUGAGACCUGAGGUGAUAAACUAGCAGUGCUGUACAGAUUUCUCAUCCAGUACCAGUAAAUAGCAUAGACUCCCCUCACUGGAACUACUACACACUUCAAGUCAUGACCUGGCUUGCAUGAAACUGCCCCAGCUCUUUCUACAUCACUGCUACCCAAUGCUCCCAGCUCUCACCCCAGGGCAAGCAGAGCCAGCUUG